UACGUAGGUGGCAAGCGUUGUCCGGAAUUAUUGGGCGUAAAGCGCGCGCAGGCGGCCUCUUAAGUCUGAUGUGAAAGCCCCCGGCUCAACCGGGGAGGGCCAUUGGAAACUGGGAGGCUUGAGUAUAGGAGAGAAGAGUGGAAUUCCACGUGUAGCGGUGAAAUGCGUAGAGAUGUGGAGGAACACCAGUGGCGAAGGCGACUCUUUGGCCUAUAACUGACGCUGAGGAGCGAAAGCGUGGGGAGCGAACAGG
rnacentral:rRNA from 1 species